UACGUAGGGUGCAAGCGUUGUCCGGAAUUAUUGGGCGUAAAGAGCUCGUAGGCGGUUUGUCGCGUCUGCUGUGAAAACCCGAGGCUCAACCUCGGGCCUGCAGUGGGUACGGGCAGACUAGAGUGCGGUAGGGGAGAUUGGAAUUCCUGGUGUAGCGGUGGAAUGCGCAGAUAUCAGGAGGAACACCAAUGGCGAAGGCAGACCUGCCUAG
rnacentral:rRNA from 1 species